UUUGUUGUGAGCAUGAGCAAACAGUUGUCAUAUACACCAAAGAAAGCAAAAAUGCAUUGAAUUGAGGAAGGAGAUAGUUUAUGUAACAAUGCGAAGGAGGCAAAGCAAAUCGAUGGUGUUCCUUGGCUGUGCAUGGUUAAACAAAUUCAAAUAUUCCACUGGUGCCAGCUUUUCUGGUUUUCUUCAUAUACCAUUGUUCUUGCAAGUUAGAUUUUAUGGUUCCAUUUCUUCAGAUGAAUAGAGCACCAGGUAACAUGA
rnacentral:lncRNA from 1 species